rnacentral:rRNA from 1 species
AUUGAACGCUGGCGGCAGGCCUAACACAUGCAAGUCGAGCGGAUGAAGGGAGCUUGCUCCUGGAUUCAGCGGCGGACGGGUGAGUAAUGCCUAGGAAUCUGCCUGGUAGUGGGGGAUAACGUCCGGAAACGGGCGCUAAUACCGCAUACGUCCUGAGGGAGAAAGUGGGGGAUCUUCGGACCUCACGCUAUCAGGUGAGCCUAGGUCGGAUUAGCUAGUUGGUGGGGUAAAGGCCUACCAAGGCGACGAUCCGUAACUGGUCUGAGAGGAUGAUCAGUCACACUGGAACUGAGACACGGUCCAGACUCCUAAGGGAGGCAGCAGUGGGGAAUAUUGGACAAUGGGCGAAAGCAUGAUCCAGCCAUGCCGCGUGUGUGAAGAAGGUCUUCGGAUUGUAAAGCACUUUAAGUUGGGAGGAAGGGCAGUAAGUUAAGACCUUGCUGUUUUGACGUUACCAACAGAAUAAGCACCGGCUAACUUCGUG